rnacentral:rRNA from 1 species
GUGGGGAAUCUUGCGCAAUGGGCGAAAGCCUGACGCAGCCAUGCCGCGUGAAUGAUGAAGGUCUUAGGAUUGUAAAAUUCUUUCACCGGGGACGAUAAUGACGGUACCCGGAGAAGAAGCUCCGGCUAACUUCGUGCCAGCAGCCGCGGUAAUACGAAGGGGGCUAGCGUUGCUCGGAAUUACUGGGCGUAAAGGGCGCGUAGGCGGACAGCUUAGUCAGAGGUGAAAGCCCAGGGCUCAACCUUGGAAUUGCCCUUGAUACUGGCUGUCUUGAGUUUGGGAGAGGUGAGUGGAACUCCGAGUGUAGAGGUUAAAUUCGUAGAUAUUCGGAAGAACACCAGUGGCGAAGGCGACUCACUGGCCCAAUACUGACGCUGAGGCGCGAAAGCGUGGGGAGCAAACAGGAUUAGAAACCCGGGUAGUCC